UUUUGUUUUCAUAAUCUUUUUCAUUUGGUUAUUUGGUAAAGUGAUUGGUAGCCCCUUUCAAUACACAGAGCGCUCUGGUUCAAACCCAUCUGUCUCCUUUUCACUCCCCUUUUUGAGGCCACCAUCCCUCUUCUCUCCUUCCCCAACCUCCUCUCAUCAGUUUUUCUCCUUCAAAUUCAUCAGACACACAGCAACGUUUGAAGGAGCCGGGGAACAAUACGAGAUAAUGACAGAAGGAGACCUGGAGCCGGCGACCGGACCUCGGCGCGUGCUUGCCUCCUACCCACAGACUCCAAGAUGUAGAAACCGGCAACGGUGAUAUCUUUUUAAGAAAGACUUCGGUGGGGUGACGUACUAUAGUGGAGGCAGGUGACGGUGGUUACGGCGGUGGCUUUCGUCUCCGGAAACGCGAGAAAGGGGUGUCAAUGGUGUUCUUUGUGGUUUGAAAGGGGGGAUCGGGGUGGCUAUGGUGGCAAUAGUGUGCAACGACUACUGUAAUUGUGGCCAGAGAAUGAGAGUGGGCUGCCCCACCGGCAUCACCGCCACCUCCAUCACCAUCGCCACAACUGCCAUAUCUCCGACUGCAACCUUGACGGUGGUGUUGCUACAUGAGUAAUGGCAACGAAGAUUGAGGGUUUUAAGGGAGAGUAGGUCGACGGCUAAAUCGAUGAACCCUAAAUCGAUAAUCGGUCUCAUCCCACUAAAUUUCGAUUUGCUUGCUGUUCUUCAAUCAAUCGCCGACAGGAACUCUUUACAGUUGUUUUUUGCCCAGAGCUCUUAAAUUCCCUUGGCGAAGAGAAGGACCAUUAAGAAGGACAACUAAAACUCAAAUGCGGUGGAAUUUCAUCAACCAUGGUAUGGGACCUGAAUGAAGAGCAACGUCUAAGUUUUAUUCCUGUCACAUCAGAUUGCAGCAUUUCAGCAAUGUAGGUUAACUAUAUUUCUCAAAAUGUCUUCGCUUUACAUAAUGUUUAGUACAAAGUUUGUUAGUAUAGCCGACAUCGCUGCUAUGAAGCCCACACGUUUUGCUACGCCACUAGAGUCACUGGUCGACCAAACUGUUGACAUGGUGGUACGUGUUUGAUUUUGAUUUGGUUUUGAAUAAGUGUGUUUGUGAACCCGUUUGAUUUUGAUUGGUGGUUUUUUACUAUGAUUUAAGUGUUUCGCGUGGUUGUCGUUUUUAAGGCGUUAAAUGUUUCAGCAUAGGGCUACGUUUGUUAAAUGUAGUUAUUUUAGACACAAAAUUUCAUAACAUUUUGACGUUUAAAAAGUUCGGUUGGUCUCAUGGUACGGGUUCGAAUCUUUCUUGCACUUCCCCUGUGCCUUUGUCUCCCCCUUUUUGUUGCGCUUCAACAUCAAAGAAAGAGGGUUCUUCCGAAUCUCUUUGAACAAAAACAAGAACUUGGGUGUCUUGUCAUGUUGAUUAUCAGCAAUGUCGCUAUUCUUUUCCUCUUAGAAAUUGUAAGUGGUGGCGGAGACACGGUGGCAAUGGUUUCUUCGAUUUUCGAUCGGUGUGUGAAGUCUGACCCCCUCGGGCUAUGCCUAAGCUGCGCCAAUGCUUGGAACCCUAAAGGGUUCGAUGAGCAAAACGCUAAGGCAAACAAGAUGACACCAAAUAGAGGCGGCAACGGAUCUGGACGACCGUUGAUUAUAACUUAAUGAAAUUUAAACUCUAUAUUUAUUUUUAAGAAGCCAAUCUCUAAUAAAUUGUAUUAGUAUUAGCUCAUACCUAACCUUUUGUCACCUUUAUUCGAUAGUCUAGAUGCCGCAUAAUGGUUAAAAUGUAGUUAUCAAUUAUUUUCCUUCUUAUUAAUGAUCUAUAUUUAGCUGAUGUGAGAUCAACUGGAUCUUGAUGACCUUAUGCUUAGCCAUUAUCAUCAGAUUUAGAGAUACCAAACACUUGGAUAAUGCUUCAGGUUUGGCGGUUAUAACGCUCAUGUUGGUUACAACAGGGGCGGACCUAGCAUAGAAGAAGGGGCAACCCCCGUUGUCCCUUGACGCUCCGACGGUAGUGUAAAAUUAGUGUAAAAUUUGGAAAACUUUGACGUUUUUUCGAUUUCGUUGCCCUUUUUUUAUAGAAACGUCCCCCCCUUUAGGUUUUUUCUAGAUCCGCCACUGGGUUACAACUUGCUUGAUGUCUUAUGCUGGCACCAAAAUGUUAUUCUUGCAAUUGGUUUUGUGGUGUUCUUUAGGACGAUUGAAACAUUGUACCUUUCGGCUUUUCUUAUCAAGUUUCUAGAAGGGGCGUGGGUCCCGAUAGCACUCUCGCUCAUUUUCAUGCUUCUGAUGUACAUGUGGCACUAUGAUACACUUAAAAAGUAUGAAUUUAAUAUCCAAAAGAAAGUAUCAUACACUUAAAAAAUAUGAAUUUGAUAUCCAUAACAAAGUAUCAGUUGAUUUGGUUACUGAGCAUGUGCCCGACACUUGGUUGGACCUUGCUAUCUAGAAAGCAUGCCGAGUUCCAAGACUGA